rnacentral:lncRNA from 1 species
UGUGUGGUGGGGUGGUGGGGUGGUGAUGCAGGGACAGAUGGGAUGGUGGCACUUUGUAACGAGAGUGCACGUCCAUAGACAACUCAUUUGAAUGGCGGGCUUUGCUCUUAAAACCUGUCCACAGCUUCAUACAUGCAGCACCCAUCUGUGUUUGAAUCUGAAUUGCUCCUUUGAGCUCUGCCUUAGUGGGAUGUCACAUUGGCUUAGAACUUUCAAAAGCACUGAACACACCCGUGAUCAGUUGAGAUCGAUUUAGACCAGUGUUGGUUUAUGGUUUAUGAUGGUCCUAAGUAUGCUAUAAUUUCACAAAUCAAUGAUUUAUUUUUUGGACUGCAUGAACACAGUCAGCAGUAUAAACCUAUAUGUGUCUGUAUAUGUGUAAAAUAUGUCAACCAACCUGAAUUCUCCUGCUGUUUUUGCUUUCACUCUCCUCGUCCAUCUCUCCUCGUCCCCCUCUUGUCUCCCUCCAGUCCCAAGCACCGGCCCUCCCCUUUAACUCCUGCCUGUCGCCAGGCCAUGUUCCAGAGCACACGUAUGACACGUACGAUGCGUCGGAAGACCGAAACCGCAGUGACGUGUUCGCAGAGCUUCGCGCCUGGAGAAAAGAGCAUAACAAGCGGCUACUUUCCAUUGAAAAGGAUCGCCAGCCAGAGAUGAUGACCAUACUUCACAAUGAGGAAGACUAUGAUUACAUUAAGGACAUGGACGAAGAGGUGACAGGCCAAAGUCUAGCCAGUGAUCAAGAGGAAGAAGAAGACGAGGAGGAAAUACAAGAAAGUGGAGAUAAAACCAGCUGUAAACACUGGAGCAGCAUAGACUCACCUGAUUCCUCUUCCUUGUCUCUCUCUUCAGGUAACUCAGCCAAAUCUCCCCGAACCCAAACACUGCGAAUGUUAA